rnacentral:RNase_P_RNA from 1 species
CAGACGGGAUAUAACCGCAUCGUAUAUCCUGAUGAAAAGAUAGCGCGAUGAGGAAAGUCCGGGCUCCGCUGGAAGCAGUGCCGGAUAAUAGCCGGGCAGGAACACCGUACGGUGUUUUUGACAGACAGUGCCACAGAAAACAGACCGUCUGCUUUGGCAGAUAAGGGUGAAACGGCGGUGUAAGAGACCACCGGGUAUGUGGUAACACAUACCGCAGGGUAAACCUCACUGGGAGCAAAAUCAAGUAGCAGCGGGCGUUUCCAGGCUGUCGCUGCGGGUAGAUUGCAAGAGGCAUCGGGUAAUCGGUGCACAAGAUGGAUGGUUAUGCCGCCUGCUUAUCAGGCGGUGACAGAAUCCGGCUUAUUGUCCCGUCUGUUUU